GCUUAACACAUGCAAGUCGAACGAUGAACCGCAUUCGGGCGGGGAUUAGUGGCGAACGGGUGAGUAACACGUGGGCAAUCUGCCCUGCACUCUGGGACAAGCCCUGGAAACGGGGUCUAAUACCGGAUAUGACUGUCCAUCGCAUGGUGGAUGGUGUAAAGCUCCGGCGGUGCAGGAUGAGCCCGCGGCCUAUCAGCUUGUUGGUGAGGUAGUGGCUCACCAAGGCGACGACGGGUAGCCGGCCUGAGAGGGCGACCGGCCACACUGGGACUGAGACACGGCCCAGACUCCUACGGGAGGCAGCAGUGGGGAAUAUUGCACAAUGGGCGAAAGCCUGAUGCAGCGACGCCGCGUGAGGGAUGACGGCCUUCGGGUUGUAAACCUCUUUCAGCAGGGAAGAAGCGAAAGUGACGGUACCUGCAGAAGAAGCGCCGGCUAACUACGUGCCAGCAGCCGCGGUAAUACGUAGGGCGCAAGCGUUGUCCGGAAUUAUUGGGCGUAAAGAGCUCGUAGGCGGCUUGUCACGUCGGUUGUGAAAGCCCGGGGCUUAACCCCGGGUCUGCAGUCGAUACGGGCAGGCUAGAGUUCGGUAGGGGAGAUCGGAAUUC
rnacentral:rRNA from 1 species